GGGAGCUUGCAUCUUUUGCUACUUUGGCGUGUGAGGUUCUGCUUUCGGGAGAGCUCAUGGAUUGGAUUGAAGUAUCGCUUUCACAUGUCGCAGGGAAAGUAUGUGUUUGAUGCUUUUGUGUUUCGAACCGUUGACGGCUCAAUGUCAGGCCUCCAACGAAAGGCUUCUAAAGCUCUUAGUCCAUCGCUUUUUGGUGUAUCACAAUCUGUUUCAGCCCUUCUGCUUGUGCAUCUCUUUCGGGAAGGAUAGAAUUGAACGUCAUCGCUUCAUCUAUUCCCUU